AUUGAACGCUGGCGGCAGGCUUAACACAUGCAAGUCGAGCGGGGGAGGUUGCUUCGGUAACUGACCUAGCGGCGGACGGGUGGGUAAUGCUUAGGAAUCUGCCUAUUAGUGGGGGACAACAUUCCGAAAGGGAUGCUAAUACCGCAUACGCCCUACGGGGGAAAGCAGGGGAUCUUCGGACCUUGCGCUAAUAGAUGAGCCUAAGUCGGAUUAGCUAGUUGGUGAGGUAAAGGCCUACCAAGGCGACGAUCUGUAGCGGGGCUGAGAGGAUGAUCGGGCACACUGGGGCUGAGACACGGCCCAGACUCCUACGGGAGGCAGCAGUGGGGAAUAUUGGACAAUGGGCGGAAGCCUGAUCCAGCCAUGCCGCGUGUGUGAAGAAGGCCUUUUGGUUGUAAAGCACUUUAAGCGAGGAGGAGGCUCUUAAGGUUAAUACCCUUGAUGAGUGGACGUUACUCGCAGAAUAAGCACCGGCUAACUCUGUGCCAGCAGCCGCCGUAAAAC
rnacentral:rRNA from 1 species